CCUACGGGUGGCAGCAGUGGGAGAUAGUGCACAAUGGGGGGAACCCUGAUGCAGCGACGCCGCGGGGGUGAAGAAGCGCCUCGGCGCGUAAAGCCCUGUCAGCAGGGAAGAAAAUGACGGUACCUGAAGAAGAAGCCCCGGCUAACUACGUGCCAGCAGCCGCGGUAAUACGGAGGGGGCAAGAGUUAUCCGGAUUUACUGGGUGUAAAGGGGGCGCAGACGGCGAUGCAAGCCAGGCGGGAAAGCCCGGGGCCCAACCCCGGGAUUGCUCUUGGAACUGGGUGGGUGGAGUGCAGGAGGGGCAGGCGGAAGUCCUGGUGUCGCGGUGAAAGGCGUAGAUAUCAGGGGGAACACCGGUGGCGAAGGCGGCCUGCUGGACUGCAACUGACGUUGAGGCCCGAAAGCGUGGGGAGCAAACAGGAUUAGAUACCCUUGUAGUC
rnacentral:rRNA from 1 species